GGUAAAACCUCAUUUCUACUAAAAAUACAAAAAUUAGCUGGGUGUGGUGGCGUGUGCCUGUAGUCCCAGCUACUUGGGAGGCUGAGGCAGGAGAAUCGCUUGAACCUGGGAGGCAUAGGUUGCAGUGAACCCAGAUCUUGCCACUGCAUGCCAGCCUGGACACAGAGAACGACUCCGUCUAAAAAAUUAAAAAAAAAAGCAAAGUGGAUGAUAAAUGUGAAAAGAUUCU
rnacentral:lncRNA from 1 species